UACAGAGGUCCCAAGCGUUGUUCGGAUUCACUGGGCGUAAAGGGUGCGUAGGUGGCGAGGUAAGUCGGAUGUGAAAGCUCGGAGCUCAACUCCGAAAUUGCAUUGGAAACUACCUUGCUUGAGGGUUGGAGGGGGGACUGGAAUUCUCGGUGUAGCAGUGAAAUGCGUAGAUAUCGAGAGGAACACCAGUGGCGAAGGCGAGUCCCUGGACAACUCCUGACACUGAGGCACGAAAGCUAGGGGAGCAAACAGG
rnacentral:rRNA from 1 species